rnacentral:rRNA from 1 species
AUAGCAAGGGUGUUCACCUCUUCCCAUCCCGAACAGAGAAGUUAAGCCCCUUAGCGCCGAUGGUACUGCAGUAAUAUGUGGAAGAGUAGGUUGUCGCCAAUU